rnacentral:rRNA from 1 species
CGGGUUUUCUGGGAAAGAAGUUUGGGGGUUAAAUUUCCCGGGCAAAAGGGAGGGGGCAAAACCUUGGUUCCUUUAGUUGCCCAUUCCAUUUAAGUUUGGGGCAACUUUUAAGGGAAACCCGCCCGGUGAUAAGCCGGAGGGAAGGUUGGGGAUGAACGUCAAGUCCUCAUGGCCCUUACGCGCUGGGCUACACACGUGCUACAAUGGCGGUGACAGUGGGCAGCAAUCUCGCAAGGGUGAGCUAAUCUCCAAAAGCCGUCUCAGUUCGGAUUGUUCUCUGCAACUCGAGAGCAUGAAGGCGGAAUCGCUAGUAAUCGCGGAUCAGCAUGCCGCGGUGAAUACGUUCCCAGGCCUUGUACACACCCCCCCGGAAUCACUAGUG